rnacentral:rRNA from 1 species
UACGUAGGGAGCAAGCGUUGUCCGGAAUCAUUGGGCGUAAAGCGCGCGUAGGCGGCCCUGUAAGUCCGCUGUGAAAGUCAAAGGCUCAACCUUUGAAAGCCGGUGGAUACUGCAGGGCUAGAGUCCGGAAGAGGCGAGUGGAAUUCCUGGUGUAGCGGUGGAAUGCGCAGAUAUCAGGAGGAACACCAAUUGCGAAGGCAGCUCGCUGGGACGUUACUGACGCUGAGACGCGAAAGCGUGGGGAGCAAACAGG